UAAAGUUGUUUUCCGCGGGAGUCU
rnacentral:piRNA from 1 species